GACGUAGGGCGCGAGCGUUGUCCGGAUUAUUGGGCGUAAGAGCUCGUAGGCGGCUUGUCGCGUCGACUGUGAAAACCCGUGGCUCAACCAUGUGGUCUGCAGUCGAUACGGGCAGGCUAGAAUUCGGUAGGGGAGACUGGAAUUCCUGGUGUAGCGGUGAAAUGCGCAGAUAUCAGGAGGAACACCGGUGGCGAAGGCAGCACUCUGGGCCGGUACCUGACGUGAGGAGCGAAAGCGUGGG
rnacentral:rRNA from 1 species